rnacentral:rRNA from 1 species
GACGAACGCUGGCGGCGUGCCUAAUACAUGCAAGUCGAACGCAGUGGGGACGGGUGAGUAACACGUGGGUAACCUCCCAUCAGAGGGGAUAACACUUGGAAACAGGUGCUAAACCGAUACUGAUGGAUGGACCCGCGGUGCAUUAGGUAGUUGGUGAGGUAAAGGCACACCAAGGCCACGAUGCAUAGCCGACCUGGGAGGGUGAUCGGGCACACUGGGACUGGGACACCGGCCAGACUCCUACGGGAGGCAGGAGUAGGGAAUCUUCGGCAAUGGACGGAAGUCUGGCCGAGCAACGGCGCGUGAGUGAAGAAGGGUUUCGGAUCGUAAAGCUCUGUUGUUAGAGAAGCGGUAACUAACCAGAAAGGGACGGCUAACUACGUGCCAGCAGCCGCGGUAAUAC